rnacentral:rRNA from 1 species
CCUACGGGGGGCUGCAGUGGGGAAUAUUGCGCAAUGGGCGAAAGCCUGACGCAGCGACGCCGCGUGGGUGAUGAAGGCCUUCGGGUUGUAAAGCCCUGUCGGGUGGAACGAACGAUCUGGCGGCGAAUAACCGCCGGGUGUGACGGUACCACCGAAGGAAGCCCCGGCUAACUACGUGCCAGCAGCCGCGGUAAGACGUAGGGGGCGAGCGUGGUUCGAAUGCACUGGGCGUAAAGCGUAAGUAGGCGGCGAAAUCCCACGGCUUAACCGAGGUCACGCAUCCGAUACUGUCUGGCUCGAGUGUAGGAGAGGAAAGCGGAAUUCCCAGUGUAGCGGUGAAAUGCGUAGAUAUUGGGAGGAACACCGGUGGCGAAGGCGGCUUUCCGGACUAGUACUGACGCUGAGGCGCGAAAGCUAGGGGAGCGAACGGGAUUAGAUACCCCAGUAGUC